GUGGAAACAAAGACACCUACAUCUUGGAUGCCCUUGAGCCCUCUGCCAUGGCUGCUGAUAUUGAGAGAGCUGUCACCCUGCCAAGCACACCUCGAUUAGUUGUCCCAGAAGAGAUACUUCGUGGCGCAGACACAUGGAAUAUCUCCGUGGAAGGAGCAUGUGUGAUGGGGCCCCACAGUAACCUCCUGCAUGGACUGGCAGCAGUCUUCGCUGCCUACUUUUGUCUUCAACUUCCAAUA